rnacentral:rRNA from 1 species
UGGGGAAUAUUGCACAAUGGGGGAAACCCUGAUGCAGCGACGCCGCGUGAGCGAAGAAGUAUUUCGGUAUGUAAAGCUCUAUCAGCAGGGAAGAAGAAUGACGGUACCUGACUAAGAAGCACCGGCUAAAUACGUGCCAGCAGCCGCGGUAAUACGGAGGGUGCAAGCGUUAAUCGGAAUAACUGGGCGUAAAGGGCAUGCAGGCGGUUCAUCAAGUAGGAUGUGAAAUCCCCGGGCUCAACCUAGGAACAGCAUACUAAACUGGUGGACUAGAGUAUUGCAGGGGGAGACGGAAUUCCAGGUGUAGCGGUGGAAUGCGUAGAUAUCUGGAAGGACACCAAAGGCGAAGGCAGUCUCCUGGGCAAAUACUGACGCUCAUAUGCGAAAGCGUGGUAGCAAACAGGAUUAGAUACCCUGGUAGU